AUUGAACGCUGGCGGCAGGCCUAACACAUGCAAGUCGAGCGGAUGAAGGGAGCUUGCUCCUGGAUUCAGCGGCGGACGGGUGAGUAAUGCCUAGGAAUCUGCCUGGUAGUGGGGGAUAACGUCCGGAAACGGGCGCUAAUACCGCAUACGUCCUGAGGGAGAAAGUGGGGGAUCUUCGGACCACACGCUAUCAGAUGAGCCUAGGUCGGAUUAGCUAGUUGGUGGGGUAAAGGCCUACCAAGGCGACGAUCCGUAACUGGUCUGAGAGGAUGAUCAGUCACACUGGAACUGAGACACGGUCCAGACUCCUACGGGAGGCAGCAGUGGGGAAUAUUGGACAAUGGGCGAAAGCCUGAUCCAGCCAUGCCGCGUGUGUGAAGAAGGUCUUCGGAUUGUAAAGCACUUUAAGUUGGGAGGAAGGGCAGUAAGUUAAUACCUUGCUGUUUUGACGUUACCAACAGAAUAAGCACCGGCUAACUUCGUG
rnacentral:rRNA from 1 species